UUUGAUAAUGACACCUUGUGAAACCUUACUUAGGAUUGACAUGUUGUGAAUCCUCUUGAAAGAGAGGAGUGCCUUUCGGAAUGUAGACAUAGGUGGUGCAUGGUUGUCAGCUUGUGUCGUAAGGUGUUGGGUUAAGUCCCGCAAUGAGCACAACCCUUGAGUUUAGUUGCCACCCUUGAAUUUGGAACCCUGAGCAGAUUUUUGAGGAUAAGCCAGAGGAAGGUGAGGAUGACUUCAAGUCAUCAUGUCCCUUAUGCCUUGGGCUA
rnacentral:ncRNA from 1 species